rnacentral:tRNA from 1 species
AAGGAUUUAAGUUAAAUAAACUAAUAGCCUUCAAAGCUAUAAAUAAAAUUUUAAUAUUUUAAGCCUUA